AAUGAUUGAGGUUGCGCCUUUUGACUUCAAAUCAAGAGAUUGUGCCAUUUGAGUGGGAGUUGCUCAAAGCAAGGUUCUUUCUUUGCCUUAAAAAUAAGGACUUUACUUAUAUGGAGAGAUAGAACAAUAUGUAAAUGACAAGGUUGCUCAGAAAUGUAAAUGACAGAGGAAAGUGACUAAUAUUGUAGAGUGCUUGUAAUUUAAAUGACUGAAAACGAGUUGUACAUGAAAACUACAAAGGAGAUCGAUACUACAAGUGAGCAGCAGAGCUAAUAAACUACACAAAAAAUGGCUUUUGUGAGGGUUGAUCCUGAAAAUGAUGAAGGCUUAGGGGCUGACUACAGCUUCAUGAAGGCAAAUCUGGUUUGAGCAGAGUUUGUGUUUGUAUUUGUUUGUUUGAUUGAGUGUCUAUAAUCCUUAUGCAUCUGCCCCUUUAAAUAGAG
rnacentral:lncRNA from 1 species